AAGUGUCAUAUGCAAAGUUGCAAAUUCGCCGACCGUAGGGCUAUCAAAACUGAUGAUGUUUAAAAAUUGACUAAUGGAACAAAUUUAUCUUGAGAUGAAAUGAUGUUGUUCAAAAUUAAUAUAAUUUUUUUUUGCUGUUUCCUCUUGCUUUAUACGCAUUUUCCUGCACCUCUCUUUCAGAAUACACAUUAUUCUUAUUUGGUAUUAAGAUUCACCAAUUGAUAAAAUAACACCUAAUUGUAUGCCACGGCUAUCUUGCUAUUAUUGUAAUUUCGCUUUAUAUUCGAUUUUGACGAAUGAACCCUGUCAAGUUGGAAAAUGCAAAAGCAGUAUUCUACCGUUACCUCUCAGUAGUAAAAUGACCUUCCAUCGAUGAAAUUCUCUAACAUUCUCUUCGUAUUUAAAAAUGUAUGGAUCGUAUAUUCCUUGCUUAUCCACGAUUCAUGAACAAUUAAGAUUUGCUGAAUGGGUAACACAUAUUCUGCGUUACCUCGUAUAGUUCAUUGUUAAUCAAUGUUUAAACACUAAAUUUCCCAUCUCCCACUGUUAAUUGAAAAUAGGUUUUAUUCAAUAAAUUACCAUUUAAAAAGACAUGUUAUUUUAAGUUAUAUAUUUUAUGAACCUAAAGAUUGAAGUAAAGGCC
rnacentral:sRNA from 1 species